CAACACAAUAAAAUACAAUGAAAUACAAUAGCACAUAAUAAAUUACCAUUAAAUACAAAAUACAAAAAAUACAUUGAUUUACAAAUAUAAGAUUAAAAUUAUCUGUAUAAAUUAAGUAAAUAAAAAUAUAGGAGGAGAAAGCGAAGGAAGAAGAAGUUACCCAGGCGAGAUGAUAUGUUUUAGAUC